CUUUGCUGAACUGUGGAAAAAUAACAUGAAUAAGAAAGUCAACAAUUUUACUUCCUGGGAAAUUGCAACUUCCAAGGUGUGAAAAAAGAAGGGAGAAAAAUCAUUGGAAUCCAUAUUCAGGGACUGAGGCAAACAUGAAGAGGGCUUCAAAUUACAUAAUUGGAAUCAACGUGGCCAAAUAACUUUGAAAAGAGAGAGAGAGAGAAAGAACCAAGAAAGGCUCUGAGUCCACUCUACCAGACACAUGGAAUAUAAAAAGAAGUUCAAAAGACUAAAUGAUUUGUCUUACCCUAAGGGCAAAGGGCAAGGAGACAGUCAGAACUUCUCACAUUCCUCAUUGCUGCCACAACUUCCUUCCCAACCACCCCGGUGAAAAACAAACAUCGGAAAGGAGGAGAUGAGGAAACUGAAGCAGAGAAAUAAGGAAUCUGUCCAAAUCUCACAGCAAUGAUAGCACAGUUCAGAGGACCAAGAAGCUGAGGGAUAGUGCAAUGUGAGGCAAUGCCCUUAAUGAUCCUUGACCCAGGGACUGUUGGUAAUUUGCAUUGCUUCUACUGAGUUGCCUCAUGCUGCUGAUGUCUGAAGAUGCAAAUUUUCUUUUUAAAAUUGGGAGUGGUAUCAAGUCCAACUAAACUUCACUGGGUUAUGGAUGCAGGAAAUUAUGUUCCAUUUGAUGACUGCAGUGAUGCCAAAAGAAACCGGAAAGACAAAUGCCUGCCUUAAAUAUUGAGACAGAGAUAGAUGGACUAAAAGAUGCACUAUAGGAAAACAGCAACAAAAGCUUUAGUUAGUGAGAAUCUUAUUCCUUCGCUAGAUUCAGUUCAUCUUUUUCACUCCAGUACCAGCUUUACCCAUAAAUUAUUUUUCUGUUUCUAAGAAAUUGAAAUGUUGGUUGCUCAACACUAAGGUGUGUAAUCCUGAGGACUUCUUCAUUUAUUCCUACGUUCAUUCAUUCAAUACUUUUCAAGCACCUCCUAUCUUGUGGGAUGCAUUUUGGGAGGUGUUGUAUGUAGUGACAAAUAUUAUUGCUAAUUUUUACAUCAUAUUGUAUAUGUCAUAUACUGUUCUAUCUGUCUUAUGUAUAUUAAUUCAUUUGAUCCUCACCACAACCCUAUGAUGUUGUAAUUAUUAUCCCCAUUUUACAGAUGAGGAAAAUGAGAGAGGUUGAGCAACUUGUUCAAGGUCAUUGUAUUAGUCAUGUUUUUCAUUUUCUGUAUCUUAUGUUUUGAAAUCUUAAAAAUCUUGGUGGUCAGUGAAGUCUGUCCUUCCAAGGGUGAGCCACUCUUUAGAGAUAACAAAGGGCUAGGCCAUGAGCAUACCUUUCAUACCCAAACCAACUAAUCUCCAAUCACCUGCUUUAUGUAGUCUCAUACACCAAGCCAAUAUUUCCUCUGACCUAAAUUAUUCCAGGGUCAGAUACCAGGCAACUAAGACCACUCCCAUAGCCCAAAGCCCAUUGGAAUUAUUCAAACUAGUCAAUCCUGAACAUGUUAUUCUACCCCACCUUGCCUUUCGUACAGAAACACCAAUAAAACCUCUGGCCUAGGCUUCCUCCAAAGCCCUAUUUCUGUCUCCUAUCCAAAUCUGCUGUCUCUUCCUGUGGCCCUGCAUGGCAUGCCACACCUCUUGUUUCUCAAAGUGUGAAUGACAUUAAACUUUUCUUUCAGUGGCAUUGAUGUCUCCAUGUCAUCUAUCAGUCACUGUGUUAAAUUAAGACCUGAGCACUAUUUACUUAUAAAUUUGAGUCUGUGCUCUUAACGUAUGUGCUAUACUAAUAUAAAUAAUAACUUUAAAGGGCUCAUUGUUUUGUUGGGAAACAAAGUGAGAACCAAACUGUUAUAAAAUACCAUGUAAAUACAAUCAUAAAGAGAUCAUUGUUAUAACUGGCUCAUUUGAUAGCAGUAUUAUCAGUGUGAAAAUGUAUACCCUGGUUUAAUUCAUAUUUGGAGAAGUUUGUGUGAACUUGCUUGUUUUUAUUUAGUUCAUUUGAAUUCAACAAAUAUUUAAGCAUUUAUUAUAUGCAGACACUUUGUCAGUUACUGAAGACACACACACAAAAAGGGAGCAGAGGAUAAAAUGCAACUUUGAGUGGUGGAGUGGAGAACACAGGUACUUAAAUAGCAACCAUAAUACAGUGUAAUAGAUGCAAACACAGAGGAAUGACUGUGAGAACUCAAGGGAGGGGUAAUUAGUUUUGAUCCUAAAAAGCAGAUGGGGCAGGUGUGCAGUAAAAUUCCUGUGAAGAAUUAGAAAUUAGGAAAGUUUUGUGGGAGACGUCACAGGCUGGGGGCAGGAAAAGAGUGUGAAGUUUCAUUUAGUUUGAAAGGAACAGAAUUAGCCAGGAUUUUGAGGCAUGUUGUUAUGCAAAUCUGAUGAAUUGGUUUGUGUCUUUGAAGAUCUGAUUUUGUGGAAUACCAAAAAUGAGACUGGAUUAUUGAUAUGG